UUUGCAAAUCAGAAGGAAUAAUAAUUUAUUAAACCUAAUUAAUUGUCUGAAAUCAACUAGUUCUUUAUAUAAAACGUAAAAACUAUAUUUAUGAAUUUUUUUCUAAAAUAUUUAUUUUAGUGAAAUGGAAGGAGUAAAAUUUAAAAAGACAAGAGAAAAAAUUGAUGUAAAAGACCGAAAUUCGCAGCUUGGCAGUAUAUGUACUGUCACUAAUUAUAAGUUUAGAUAUUUCUUAUGUAAUAAAAUCAUUGGCAGGGGCAAUUCAAAAUAUAAAAAAAAAGAACUUAACGAAAUUAUAUACAAGCUCAUAGGGAAAAAAAUUGUUUAUAACAUUUUGGAAUAAGAAACUGCAUUCGAAAUUUAGUUUUAUAGGUUCUAAUAUAAAACAGAAACAAGUGGGUGGUAUUGUUUCAGUCGACAAAAAAAAAAGUGGGAAGUCUACCAAUACUUGUACAUUUUUUACUUAUAUUAUAUUGCACGUUAAAUAGUCUAGAUUAACUACUUUGAAAUUUAUCUAUCAAAAAAAAAAUUAUCCACCAGGAGCUUUGUCCCUCAAAUAUUUACUUAAGUGAUACACACAUAUGGCAUAUCACUUUCUAUUUUUCUUUUGACAAAACAAUUGAAAUAAAGUAUAGUUUGGGGUGUAACAACAGUUGGGAUGGUGCUGGUGACUAUUGACUAAGGCUGUCAAUGGUUGUUGAAUUUUAAGUACGUUUGAAGUGGUUGUAACGUAUCGAACAUCCUUAUUUCACCAUGUUAAGAAAAGAGUAUUUAUAGUUGACAAAAAGAAAAGAUGAAAAGAGUAUUUAUAUAAAAAUGCAAUAAUAUUAAAUAAUAAAUGACUUUUGCCUUUUCGUUUCGGAUGAUGACAAUCUGUUUUCACCUUUAAUCACUUGGAUUGAAACCGCGCGCCCCGCGGCUGUUUUGUUUCAUUUUAUUUGUUUUAAACAUUUCAGAAUGUUGCUAAAAAAACAUUUUAGAAUGCACAUAUUUAUAUGUUUGUAACAUUCUUGAUUGCCCUCAAAUUUUUUGUUCAUGUUUCGCUAAUGAACUUAUUUCUUAAUGGGAAUUUUUUUUUUCUUCAACUGUGUGUAACCUUGCUCUUUUUAUUUUGACAAAUUAAACACUAAUACAAACCAUAUUUACGUUUUAAGUAUACUCUUUAUUUUAUUAAAUCUAAAGAUGUUUAUUUGAAUUUGAAGUUUGUAUCUAAAGUUCAAAUUUUAUUCUUUAAGAAUUUAGAUAUAAUUUACAACAAUAUAAUUCAAUGUUAUAUGUUUUGAUUGUUUAGAUAUAUGUAUAAAUUAGUUGUAAAAUUAGGUAGUUUGUAUAUGAUUAAAUGUGAUAAAAUUAUAGUAAUACUUAAAUAAACUUAGGUAUAUCUUUGAAAAUUAUUUAUAUUAGAAUGUAUAUUUUAAAAUUCGGCCAAAUAAAAGAGAAAUUGUCAAACAUUGUGGACCUCGUUCAUUUGUAAUGGCCAAACCCAAUUUUUUUUUUCUGGGGAAAAAACAGAAAGUAGGUUACCAUCGGUUUCGUUAUAAUGACUUCCAUUCUUUACUUUGAAUCUCUCUGUCUCUGUCUUGUCUCUUUAUCUUCACCGGAUCCCUUGCUCACCGAUCCGAUUUAUGAAACGCUUUAGAAAUAUGGCUAUGAUUGUAUAAUUAAUCAGAUAGCUAUUAUUACAUUUUGAGUUUAAACGCUUAGUUUCUUCUAAUCUAUAUUAUUUCUUCUUAUUUUUUUCAAGAAGAUUGUCUGAAGUUUGGAAUCAAAGACAUGAGAUCAGAUGAGCAAGUCCGAUAUGGUUACUAAACCCGAAACGAACAUCAUGCAUGUCUCAGAUUGGAGAGGGUUUUACUUUCAGAUAGAUAUAUAUUCUUCUUACACAAAUAAGAAUGUAAGAAGAAACCAACAACAAAAGCAAACAUCAAUUGUGUCAAAUGGAAGGAGAUCAUGCUUAUCUAUGUAUUACUUCAGUUGAUUGUAUCUGAACAAUAAGGCGGUUAGUAUACAAUCCUAAACUAAUUGUUUUACUUACGUUCUCAAACCAAAUCUGAUUUCGACCUGUGCAAAACUAUUAACAGGACCUUCAUAUAGAGAUACAUUAAAGUCAUUUAUUUUUUAAAAAUCUGGUUAAAAUUGAAAUCGUUUGUUAGGCUAGAUCGUUUGUGUAGUUUGGCAUCAUAUGAGGUUAAAAAGGAAAUAAUAAUAUUUUAUAAACAUUGUUCUAGUUAAGUUAUUCAAUUUGAUAUUUUGUUAGUUUCGUGUUGUUUGUUGGAUAUAAUGGUCUCAUAUGUUUUAUAGAAACAAUUGACUAAUAAGAAACUAUUUGUUAAUCUUUUUAUACAAUCAUCGUAUUAUGAUAUUAGCCUAUUUAAUGUUUGGCAUGAUAUUAGACGUUUUGAGAACCAAGUUACAUGAAUCCAGCUGCAAAAUGAAAACAACAGCCUUGCCGGAAAAAAAAAGAAGAACAUUGUUAGUAAUUACUUAUCUAUCCAAACUAAUUCAUGACCAUCCAGAAUUAGUUUUAAGAUUGAAAGAACCAUGCCUUAUCUAUAUAUGUUUAGUUUGCACUUGACUGAGUGAUGUAUAUCUGUGUUUAGUUAAUGAUGGACUUAUAUAACACCAAAAUAUAUAAAAAAAGCUUCAAAUGACCAAAGAGAAUGAAUAUAUUUGUCCAAAAAAAAAGACAAGCAUCUUAUUUAAAUGAAUUUUGAUGAUAAAAAAAGUUGUUUAUAAAGCUAAAUAAACAAUUUCAGAAGCAUACGAACCAGCCAGCAUUCUUCCACCAACAUGUGUGUAUUUCAAACCUGAAAAAACCUGAAGAAAAUUAUAGGUGAAGAAAGUGACUAUACGAAUGUAAUAAACGUUUGUAAACAUAAGAUACCAAUUGGUCUGCUAAAACAAUCUCGAAGGUAUCUCCUCCAAGUGAUGUGUGUUGCUUCCAUGAAUGUAAGAAUUUAACUUGAUAAUUACUAGUUUUUAAAAGGUAUGAGUUUUGUGAGAGGAGUAAGAACUGUAAUCUUAAGCAUGUUUAGGUUUUUCUGUGUAGAAUGAUUUGCUUUUUAUGCAAUAGAGAUGAUAUAUAUAUAUAUAUAUUUUUAUACAUAUACAUAUAGUUGGUUUUGGAAAGGGUAGGUAAAGUAAGAAAUUAUAACAAAAUAUUUGGUUAGUUAUAAUUUGAACGAAUUCAAAAGAGAAUUAUCGUUUUUCAAGAAUUUAAUAUACAUUUCUUUUAACUUUAAAUCAUAAUGAUAUAAAGAGUAUUGGAUUUUAAAGAUUAGUGAUUUGCAAGUUUUGUAAACAUAAUAAAAAUAUGGGAAAAUUGCCGAAAUAGAACAAAAAAACAACAUAGUUUUCCCUAUGGUAUAAAUCCAUUUUUUACCAUUUUUUCUCCCUUUUACCCUUUCCAUAUAUUAAAAUUAAUGAAAUAAAUAGUUUUAAGAAUCAAAAAAUUAUUAAAAUAUAAAUAAUUAAUAAAACACCCAUUUACACAAACACAUAUUUUUUGGGUUGAAAAACAUAAUAAAUGAUGUUUUCAAAUUACGUUCUACUAAAAGUAGAAUUCCGCUUUUACACAAAACGGGUAAGUAGAAAAUGAAUUCUAGAAUGAACAUAUCCAUCUACUUUGUUUAGAACGUACAAACUACUUUUUACUAUAACUCUAAAUAUGGGGAAUACGAAUUCUAUUACUUGUAAUGAUCGCUACUUUUAUUUAGAACGAUGUUUCUACUUUUAUGGUGUAUUCUAAGUUAUCAGGAAUGCAAAAUCUAAACCAUACACGAACGUCCACAUAGUGUAGAAAUUACAUUCUGGAAUUUUGUUAUGUUCUACACAGUGUAGAAUGUGCUUUCUACGGAUAAAAAAAAACUGUUUUUUCGAAAAUUAAAGAAGUUGCAGUUUUAAAAAUAUUCUAACUUCCUAAAACGUGUUUUCAUUGAUUUACUUCGUGAAAAAUAAAAAUAAAAACGAUUUUGAAUGUUCUUCUUCACCAAUCUAUGAUUUCCCCAUGAUUUCUCUAUAGUUUGUCUUGUGAUUUUCACAAACUCUUGUUCUAUGAUGCAUAUCUAUACAACAUGUGGUGUUUGGGAGUUUGGAGCAACCACGGGAUGGUUUUUUUUGGCUGAUGAGAAAGGGGCUAGGCUACUUUUAUUGGAAUCAAGUUCUACCUUAGAGGUUUUUAAAAGAAUGGUUUUAGAGAAUUUUGAUAUGGAAGAAGAUAGCUUACCCGAUUUGGAGUUGAGUUAUCUACCUACUGAGUUGAUCAAUACAUCAACAUGUCCACCUGUGAUCAUUGCAAAUGAUCGACAGCUUCAGAAUUUUGUUGGUUUUGUUCAAAAGUGUGUUUCUACUCGAUUGUGUGUAAGAAUCUGAAUGAACCAGACUUUGAUCUUAACAAGUCGCCAGCUGAUUCAAGUAUUGCUGAAGAGGAGGGAAACUCGGUUGAUAGGGGGAACGAACCAGCUCAUGUGUUUGUUGAGAGGCAGUGAGAGAAAAAGAAAGAAAAGAUUAGAAGAGUCGAAGUUGAUGAGGAUGCCUAUGAUGCUGAUACCAUGAUCUCGGCCAAAGAGGACAACCAUAAUAUGUCAAAGUUUUCUCUGCUCAAUGUUUUUAAGAAGGGACAAUUGUUUGAGAACAAAACUUUGCUGAAGGCCACUUUCGAGAUAUGUGCAAUGAAGCAUAAGUUUCACUACGAGGUUAUCAAAACAGAUAGACAGCUUUGGUAUGUUAGAUGUGAGGAUAAUGCAUGCAAUUGGUGUGUUCGAGCAGAGUGUUUGAAGGAUUCUGCAUAUUUCAUUAUCAAAAAGUAUGUCGGUGAACAUACAUGCGCACCUUCAAGCAAAACCAAACCGGGUAAAACUGCUUCGGCCAAAACUAUAGGCACUCUGAUUAUUAAACCAACAUUGAAUCAUUUUUUUUUAAAUACAAUUAAUUAUGUUUAAUGGGAUUAAUCAAAUGUUACUUUUGGUAUUAUGGAAAACAUUAUACUAUAGGGACAACUUGAGGUUGGAUUUAUACCAUAGGGACAACUAUGUUAUUUUUUUGUUCUCUUUCGGCAAUUUUCCCAAAUAUGUUGUGUUAAUUGAUUGAUAUCGUUUUUGUUAUGGUUAUUGCGUAGAAAAUAGGAGUAUUUUUUGGAAUGUUAUUGAGUUAAAGAAACUACGAAAUCAUAAUUAUAUAUAGAAUAUUCGUUUUAAAGAUAACACAUAUGUGAUUUGAAAGUUUUGUAAAAAUAACAAUAAGAUUGUGUUAUGUGCUUGGUAUCGUUUUUAUUAAAUAUUUUUACGUACAAAUAAGAGUAUUUUUGAAAUGUUAUUAAGUUAGUGAUGUUAUGGUUAGCGAUAAAUGUAAAACGUCUGUGUCUUAAGGCAACGGCAUAGGAUGGUAAUUUUUUAGGAAAAGUCAGGGUUAUUUUUUUUUGUACUUCUGUUUUAAUAGUUUAAAUUUGUUGACCUCAAUUUACAAACCAUGUAUUUCACCAUUCUGCAAAUAAAAUGAUAAAUUCAGACAAUUACACAGACAUUCAAAUCUUUCCCACAUAAACCUAUUCACAAUUCAUUCCCAUUUUAAAAGAAAAGAAUAC